rnacentral:tRNA from 1 species
AUUAAGAUAGCUUAAAUUUAAAGUAUAAUAUUGAAGAUAUUAUUAUGGGUUAAUCCCUCUUAAUA